rnacentral:lncRNA from 1 species
AUGCGUAUGGAAAAACACACAACCGUGUUAAAAAGUUGGUCAAUAUACAGUGCUGAUAUUUUCGGUACACCUCGACUCAGUAUAAAUUGGAAACUUUAUUGCAAUAUUUGCCUCAGAGUAAACUGUUUUGGCUCAUACCAUUUGCUUUUAUGGUGCAGGGAAGAUCACGACAACGGAGGAGCGGAGCCACUUACCUGUGAGCCACUUGUUCCCGAGUGGAUGCCUUUGACAGAGAAGUACUGUGUGCGGGACUCGAAUUCACAGAAAAUCGAGUGUUCUAAGAAAUAUGGAGAUUACAAUUCCCUUCAGUUGCGUGUGAAUUUCCCUGGAUAUCAGCUGGAUCUGCUCACCCUCGACUCGCCAGCCACCAGAGCCCGCGUCCCCGCUGACUACAAAGCCCCAGGGAGCCAGAGGAGUGGACUGUCUCUGAGGGUUCCAGAGCUCAAUGAGCUUUUCUCAAGUUUUUGGUAUUUUCACACCUGGGGCUGGAGGUGAACACAGGCUUGGCUGGACAUUGUGCUCAGGAUGAUGCGCCAGGAUCCGCAGUUUUCGGUGAACCCUUUGGACUUGCAGAAGAGCCGACAGUGGGCGAGCAUCACUUGAUGCCCAGACAGCGUGUUACGGUAGUAAGUCCUUCCCCGACAGAAGUCUGGUCCCGGAUGUUUCCACUCACACUAAGAGGUGAGAGGGAGUGUGUCCACCUGGGAUCUGACCUGGCUGCACCUUGGGCUCUGCCUCUAUCUGGCCACUUCUCCUGUGCAGGGCUCCGUUCUUGUUGGAAGUGCUAAGGGAUCAGACGGCUAUUUUUCAGUGGUUUCCUUGGGCGAGUCCAUCGACUCAGCAGGCAUUUAUCAAGCACCUCCUCUGCGGCGGCUCGCAACCACAGCAUUUUUCCUCUCUUGCUUCCUUCAGGGUCAUUUCUGCUGUGUCUGUUCUCGUCUCUCUUCUUGGGGAUCAGUGGGGAUCUGUUGACCUCAGAUAACUGACGACUCGCCUACCACUGGCUCAAAUAAAUAGGGUUUCUCCUGUCUCCCA